rnacentral:pre_miRNA from 1 species
AAAAACUUGGAAACUACCGUUGCAUCAAAAAAUGGGUGUCCGAGAUUCACCUACGUCACCAUGAGUAAAAUUUUUACUCAUGAGUGAAUCUGCGAGUAAAAUUUUUACUCGUACCAACGUGGAUGAAUCUCAGACGUCUAUUUUUCGAUCCAACGGUGGUUUCCAAGUUUCU